rnacentral:rRNA from 1 species
GUAGGUGGCGAGCGUUGUCCGGAUUUACUGGGCGUAAAGAGCGCGCAGGCGGCUGGUCAAGUCCGAUGUGAAAGCUCCCGGCUUAACUGGGAAAUUGCAUCGGAAACUGAUCGGCUGGAAGGUGGGAGAGGGUAGCGGAAUUCCCGGUGUAGUGGUGAAAUGCGUAGAUAUCGGGAGGAACACCAGUGGCGAAAGCGGCUACCUGGCCCAUUCUUGACGCUGAGGCGCGAAAGCUAGGGGAGCAAACGGGAUUAGAUACCCUGGUAGUCCACGCCGUAAACGAUGAGUGCUAGAUGUUUCUGGUAUUGACCCCGGAGGCGUCGUAGCUAACGCGUUAAGUACUCCGCCUGGGGAGUACGGCCGCAAGGCUA